AUUGAGAUAUUAUAUAUUCCAUUUAAAGGUGGGGCAAGCCCAAAUAUUACAAAACCCAACCAACAAGGGCAAUCCUACUCCACACAAACAUAGGCCCAUAAGCCCAAAAAACCGGAAACCCUAGCUACCCAAACGAAAGCGCCGCUCACGCGCUCCACCGCUUCGAUCCACGACGGAACCCCGCAACAAUCGAACCCCGGUGCCAUCUCCAACGAUCGAUCCACCGGUACAACCCAAGCUCAAAAGCUCCACAACAUCAUCACCGCUAACGCCCUCAAGACGGAGUUUCUAAUAUCGGAAUGCAUCAAUCGCAGAAGGAGAGCUAAUCCGUCACUAUUAAACACCACCACCGACGAGAGGCUUAACGCAAACCAUCACCCAGUUACCACCGGUGAGCGUCAAUCAUCCUCCGACGAGAGCUCCUCCGGCCAAACCAACCCGACAUCGCUAGAAAACUAAGAUAGAAACCUAAAAACGGAAGUAGAAGACCACUACCUGGCGGCACAAGGCACAGAACCACC
rnacentral:lncRNA from 1 species